rnacentral:rRNA from 1 species
AGUGAACGCUGGCGGUAGGCCUAACACAUGCAAGUCGAACGGCAGCACAGUAAGAGCUUGCUCUUACGGGUGGCGAGUGGCGGACGGGUGAGGAAUACAUCGGAAUCUACUUUUUCGUGGGGGAUAACGUAGGGAAACUUACGCUAAUACCGCAUACGACCUACGGGUGAAAGCAGGGGAUCUUCGGACCUUGCGCGAUUGAAUGAGCUGAUGUCGGAUUAGCUAGUUGGCGGGGUAAAGGCCCACCAAGGCGACGAUCCGUAGCUGGUCUGAGAGGAUGAUCAGCCACACUGGAACUGAGACACGGUCCAGACUCCUACGGGAGGCAGCAGUGGGGAAUCUUGGACAAUGGGCGAAAGCCUGACCCAGCAAUACCGCGUGGGUGAAGAAGGCCUUCGGAUUGUAAAGCCCUUUUGUUAGGAAAGAAAAGCAGCAUGUUAAACCACCGAUGUUCUGACGGUACCUAAAGAAUAAGCACCGGCUAACUUCGUG